UUUGCUAAAAUGAGAAAAAUGAUAGCAGCUACCCCACAAGAUGGUUAUGAAGAAGAAAUAAGAAUGUGCAUGGAAAGCUCUUAUCACUAUGUCCAGAACAUAGGAAAUUCUGUAAAAGCAUUAGCUAAUAUUAUUUUUCUUUUAACCUAUAUUUUGCUCUUUACCAAGGUCCAGGCAGUUGGCCAGCUAAGAAGGGCUCAGUGUUCUAUAGAGAUCACAUUUUGGACAUGUCCUGGAUCUUUAUCUUUAGGCAACAGGUGUGUGGUGCUUUGCCACCUUUCAGGGAGGUGUCCAAGGUCUUCCAGUGCUACCCACCAUCAGUGCAAGGAGUAGAGAGGGACCGCCAACCUUCAGGUGAACCAAAGCAAUACAACGCACCCCAAGCACUGCAAAGUCUUCCCCCCGUAUAAAAUCUGCCCCAAAUUUCCUGAAAUAAGUAAUGUUUUGCAUUUUGAUUCUCCUUGAAAAUUUAUGCCAUCUGAUAAGCAGUAACCUCUUUCCCCUCCUACACCUCCUACCCAUUCCUCAAAUCUGCUCCUCUGGCCCACCCAAUGGAUGUCUGCAGGAGACGGGUACAGAGAUACAAAGUCAUAAGCAGCUGCACUGUCUUAUAAGCAUUAAUAAUUAAAGAACAAGCA